UCCAGCGCACUCACUUAUCCACUAAACAGCAACUUUAAUGUUGACAGAUUUUAUAAUGUGUUUUUAAAAACUAACUAAUAAAAUCUGUCCACAUUGAAGUUGCUGUUUAGUGGAUAAGUGAGUGCGCUGGA